UACGGAGGGUGCAAGCGUUGUUCGGAAUCACUGGGCGUAAAGCGCGUGUAGGCGCCUCUCAGUCUGGUGUGAAAGCCCGGGGCUCACCCCCGGAAGUGCAUUGGAUACUGGAAGGCUGGAGUACCGGAGAGGAGGGUGGAAUUCCUGGUGUAGCGGUGAAAUGCGUAGAUAUCAGGAGGAACACCGGUGGCGAAGGCGGCCCUCUGGACGGAUACUGACGCUGAGACGCGACAGCGUGGGGGAGCAAACAGG
rnacentral:rRNA from 1 species